UGGGGAAUAUUGGACAAUGGGCGAAAGCCUGAUCCAGCCAUGCCGCAUGUGUGAAGAAGGUCUUCGGAUUGUAAAGCACUUUAAGUUGGGAGGAAGGGCAGUAAGUUAAUACCUUGCUGUUUUGACGUUACCGACAGAAUAAGCACCGGCUAACUCUGUGCCAGCAGCCGCGGUAAUACAGAGGGUGCAAGAGUUAAUCGGAAUUACUGGGCGUAAAGCGCGCGUAGGUGGUUUGUUAAGUUGGAUGUGAAAGCCCCGGGCUCAACCUGGGAACUGCAUCCAAAACUGGCAAGCUAGAGUACGGUAGAGGGUGGUGGAAUUUCCUGUGUAGCGGUGAAAUGCGUAGAUAUAGGAAGGAACACCAGUGGCGAAGGCGACCACCUGGACUGAUACUGACACUGAGGUGCGAAAGCGUGGGGAGCAAACA
rnacentral:rRNA from 1 species